GCCCCUGUAGCUCAGUGGAUAGAGCGACCGCCUCCUAAGCGGUAGGUCGCAGGUUCGAUUCCUGCCAGGGGCACCG
rnacentral:tRNA from 1 species